rnacentral:rRNA from 1 species
AUUGAACGCUGGCGGCAUGCUUUACACAUGCAAGUCGAACGGCAGCGGGGUAGUGCUUGCACUACUGCCGGCGAGUGGCGAACGGGUGAGUAAUAUAUCGGAACGUACCGAGUAAUGGGGGAUAACCAAUCGAAAGAUUGGCUAAUACCGCAUACGUCCUAAGGGAGAAAGCGGGGGAUCGCAAGACCUCGCGUUAUUCGAGCGGCCGAUAACUGAUUAGCUAGUUGGUGGGGUAAAGGCCUACCAAGGCGACGAUCAGUAGCGGGUCUGAGAGGACGAUCCGCCACACUGGGACUGAGACACGGCCCAGACUCCUACGGGAGGCAGCAGUGGGGAAUUUUGGACAAUGGGGGCAACCCUGAUCCAGCCAUGCCGCGUGUAUGAAGAAGGCCUUCGGGUUGUAAAGUACUUUUGUUAGGGAAGAAAAGGGAAGUGCUAAUACCACUUUUUGCUGACGGUACCUAAAGAAUAAGCACCGGCUAACUACGUGCCAGCAGCCGCGGUAAUACGUAGGGUGCGAGCGUUAAUCGGAAUUACUGGGCGUAAAGCGAGCGCAGACGGUUACUUAAGCAGGAUGUGAAAUCCCCGGGCUUAACCUGGGAACUGCGUUCUGAACUGGUAGCUAGAGUAUGUCAGAGGGGGGUAGAAUUCCACGUGUAGCAGUGAAAUGCGUAGAGAUGUGGAGGAAUACCGAUGGCGAAGGCAGCCCCCUGGGAUGAUACUGACGUUCAUGCUCGAAAGCGUGGGUAGCAAACAGG